UCUUCUUUUCUUCUUUCUUUAUUUUGCUCUCACUUCCUUCUACUCUCCACAAACCAGCAACUACCACCUCCUACUAGCCACUUUUUUGGCCAGUUCUGGUCACCUGCCAGCCACCAUUUUCGGCCAAUAUUUAUUCAAGCCUUUAGUUCACCCAUUUAGCUCUAAAUCAAGGUAUUUGAGUCAAACUUUUUCUACUUUCUUUAGUUGCUGGAAAUUAGGUUUUGACACAUCAAAAUCUUGUUAUUGAGGUUCAAUUGAAGAAAUCUACACUUGGAUUUUAUUGUUGAUUGGAGUUCCAAGCUUGGUUAGGUGAGGUUCAAGAACUUGGGAAGUCAUGGGUUAAGAAAAAGGUUGAUUGAUGCCAGAGAAUUCAAGGUUGAGUAUUAGCUCUACAUAGCUAGUUUUUGGAGUACGAGGUGAUUCUAGUUCCGAUACCAGGGUUGCGGACCAAUAGGAGAGUGCGUGACAUGGAUAGGCCUGAAGAGUGAUGACACCUAGAUGGUUGGGUACUUUAGUUAUGUUAUUAGUACUAUUUAUAUUUGAAUUCUCGGGUUGGGACUUGUUAUUUGAUACACCUAUUCGGUGGAUAAUUGGACAGUCGGUAGGGUGCCUUGUGUGAUCAGGACUACCAGGCCGGGUUUGUGAACUUUAUGUCUUGAUGCUGAUUAUGCUUGCAGGGUUACCCCCUUGCGUUGGUUGCUUUGACUAUAUAUGUCAUUGUGUGUGGAGAUAUGUGAUGAUAUGAAUUGUUAGAUCGCCCAAGGCCCUAAACUCCAGCUUGGCAUUCUCCGAAAGACGUGGAGAUGCUGUAGGAUUUUUCGAUGAAUUGGUGAUUGAUUAAAUCGUAGUAUACCUAGGCUUGAUACAAUUGAUGUAGACAUUCAUGUCUAUGGAAUGGUCACCAUGAUUGGUGACGUAAGAUGGUACCAAUAGUAGCGCCUCCCAGGUUGG